UGUUAAUUUAAAGUUAUGAAAUGAAUGAAAUGAAAAAUGCUCCUUAUUUGUAUUUGAUAAUGAGAAAUGCUUUACAUUUUCCAUAUUAAAAGCCACAUCAAAAUCACCCAAAGUACAGAUCUGUCAAUACUGUUAUGUUAUCAAACAAUGGUGCUUCACAUAAGAAUCAACCAAGUCAGCCUUUGAACGAUUCCAACAUUUUAUCGGAUCUGUAAAAUAUGAACUGCAACGGACUGCAACUUCAAAAUAAAUUUACACCUUGGUCGUUUAAGUUAAUCCAGUCAUAAUUUAUCUUUCCUCACAUGUUCGAAAUAGAAAUGAAAGCGCAAAUACGGAAAGUGCAGAUAUCUCUUAAAAAAUUACAUGAAUGAUAACGUAUUCGGUAAAACGUUUUCCAAUUUACAAAACGGUAAAUUAUUUAUGAUUAAUUUAACAUUGUUUCUAAAAUACACAGAGUCUCUGAAUCAUUUUUUGACGAUUUAGCUUUCUGAAAGAAGGCAUGAAUGUCAUUGUGUUUAACACAAAAAAACUUGAUGGUGAUUCAUCAAAAAUGAGUUCACACACUGCAAAUGAGACAUUUUCCUGUUUAAAUUCUGUGUCUUAUUAAGUAAUAACAAAAAAAGAUAUACAAGUUUUAACUUUCGUUUCGUCCCCGAGGGUAUCACCAG
rnacentral:lncRNA from 1 species